rnacentral:lncRNA from 1 species
GUCUAACACUGUCCGACAGCAUCUGCCAGUAACAUCCAGCCAAAUAUUUCCCAACGAAGAUUACAAGACCAGCAGGAAACCACUUAGUAACGGUAAAAUCAUGACAGGCAGCAGCAUUUUGGACUUUUUCUCAACACCAGCAUCUCCCUACAAUAUAUGGAUAGAAGAAUCCCGAAGGCUUUAAUUCACCUUUGACAGGUUCCCAGAGGUACAGAACACGCAACCCAAACCCUUCCAUUGUGCCUUGGCUGGUUUCCUGAAUCAUCUUGCCACAUCCCUUGAGGCCUCUCCAGGUACCUGCUUAUAAUGGAAAGAAGACAGGAAAUGAAGCUUACUCUUCACUGUGGGGUCCUGAGUAGA